rnacentral:rRNA from 1 species
AGAUUGAACGCUGGCGGCAGGCCUAACACAUGCAAGUCGAGCGCGAAAGUUCCUUCGGGAAUGAGUAGAGCGGCGGACGGGUGAGUAACGCGUAGGAAUUUGCCCAGUAGUGGGGGACAACUCGGGGGAAACUCGAGCUAAUACCGCAUACGCCCCAAGGGGGAAAGCAGGGGAUCUUCGGACCUUGCGCUAUUGGAUGAGCCUGCGUCGGAUUAGCUAGUUGGUAGGGUAAUGGCCUACCAAGGCGACGAUCCGUAGCUGGUCUGAGAGGAUGAUCAGCCACACUGGGACUGAGACACGGCCCAGACUCCUACGGGAGCAGCAGUGGGAAUAGUGGACAAUGGGGCAACCCUGAUCCAGCCAUACCGCGUGUGUGAAGAAGGCCUUCGGGUUAGUAAGCACUUUCAGUGGGAGGAAAGUGCGGCGAAGUACCCGGCGACCGUGACGCUACCUGCAGAAGAAGCCACCGGCAAACGUCCGUGU